rnacentral:rRNA from 1 species
UACGUAGGGUGCGAGCGUUAAUCGGAAUUACUGGGCGUAAAGCGUGCGCAGGCGGUGAUGUAAGACAGAUGGGAAAUCCCCGGGCUCAACCUGGGAACUGCAUUUGUGACUGCAUCGCUGGAGUGCGGCAGAGGGGGAUGGAAUUCCGCGUGUAGCAGUGAAAUGCGUAGAUAUGCGGAGGAACACCGAUGGCGAAGGCAGCCUUCUGGGCCAACACUGACGCUCAUGCACGAAAGCGUGGGGAGCAAACAGG